UACGGAGGGUGCAAACGUUGCUCGGAAUCAUUGGGCGUAAAGCGCACGUAGGCGGUCCGCUAAGUCGGGUGUGAAAGCCCUGGGCUCAACCCAGGAAGUGCACACGAAACUGGUCGGCUUGAAUAUGGAAGAGGGUUGCGGAAUUCCCGGUGUAGAGGUGAAAUUCGUAGAUAUCGGGAGGAACACCAGUGGCGAAGGCGGCAACCUGGGCCAAUAUUGACGCUGAGGUGCGAAAGCGUGGGGAGCAAACAGG
rnacentral:rRNA from 1 species